GGAAUUGACGGGGCCGCACAAGCGGAGGAGCAUGUGGCUCAAUUCGAUGCAACGCGAAGAACCUUACCAGGGCUUGACAUGUAACUGCAGGCCCCGUGAAAGCGGGCGGCCUUCGAGGGUGUUACACAGGUGCUGCAUGGCUGUCGUCAGUUCGUGCCGUGAGGUGUUGGGUUAAGUCCCGCAACGAACGCAACCCCUGUGUCCAGUUGCCAACGCCGGUGAUGAACCGGCGCGCACUCCGGACAGACUGCCCGUAUACACGGGAGGAAGGUGGGGACGACGUCAAGUCAGUAUGGCCCUUACGUCCUGGGCUGCACACGUGCUACAAUGGUCGGCACAAUGGGAAGCAAGACCGCAAGGUGGAGCAAAUCCAUAAAACCGACCCCAGUUCGGAUUGAAGUCUGAAACUCGACUUCAUGAAGCCGGAUUCGCUAGUAAUGGCGCAUCAGCUACGGCGCCGUGAAUACGUUCCCGGGCCUU
rnacentral:rRNA from 1 species